AUUGAACGCUGGCGGCAGGCCUAACACAUGCAAGUCGAACGAGUGGCGGACGGGUGAGUAAUGUCUGGGAAACUGCCUGAUGGAGGGGGAUAACUACUGGAAACGGUAGCUCAUACCGCAUACCAUCGGAUGUGCCCAGAUGGGAUUAGCUAGUCGGUGGGGUAACGGCUCACCUAGGCGACGAUCCCUAGCUGGUCUGCGAGGAUGACCAGCAACACUGGAAAUGAGAAACGGUCCAGACUCCUGCGGGAGGAAGCAGUGGGGAAUAUGGCACAAUGGGCGCAAGCCUGAUGCAGCCAUGACGCGUGUAUGAAGAAGGCCGUCGGGUUGUAAAGUACUUUCAGCGGGGAGGCGUUACCCGCAGAAGAAGCACCGGCUAACUCCGUGCCAGCAGCCGCGGUAAUAC
rnacentral:rRNA from 1 species